UGCGCAGGUGGCCGUGUGUGUGAGGCGUGAAAGCCCGGGGCUUAACCCCGGAAUUGCACCUCAAACUACAUGGCUAGAGCAUUGGAGAGGGUAGCGGAAUUCACGGUGUAGCAGUGAAAUGCGUAGAUAUCGUGAGGAACACCAGAGGCGAAGGCGGCUACCUGGACAAUUGCUGACACUCAGGCACGAAAGCGUGGGAGCAAA
rnacentral:rRNA from 1 species